UACGUAGGGUGCGAGCGUUGUCCGGAAUUAUUGGGCGUAAAGGGCUCGUAGGCGGUCUGUCGCGUCGGGAGUGAAAACUCAGGGCUUAACCCUGAGCCUGCUUCCGAUACGGGCAGACUAGAGGUAUGCAGGGGAGAACGGAAUUCCUGGUGUAGCGGUGGAAUGCGCAGAUAUCAGGAGGAACACCGGUGGCGAAGGCGGUUCUCUGGGCCGUUACUGACGCUGAGGAGCGAAAGCGUGGGGAGCGAACAGG
rnacentral:rRNA from 1 species